CAAGGUUGUUGUGAAGCCGAUUUCAGGAUUUGUUCGUACUGUUUGUUCCCAGUUGUUGUGACAAGUUUGGAACAAAUUGUUAUCACCUUGUUACAAGGUUGAUGUUACAAGGCUACAAGUUAUUCCAACAAAGACUAAUAUAGGCUGAGCUUGUUGUCAUUAACUUGUUAACAACUUGUGACGUGCAGAGGAUAUCAGACUUGUUGGAACAGCUGUUGCUAGUCUGUUGGCUUCAGCAUCAACCUUGUUACAAGAUGAUCCCAACUUGUUCAAUACUUGUCAACAACUGGGAACAAGCAAUGCGAACACUUAUCUGUCUGUCUAUCUUGUUGACAAGCUGAGAGAUUUUACUCGUACGUGUAGGUAUUGCAUGGAACUAAGCUAACCAAGCAUUUAAAUUAUAGAUGCAAGUGAAUUGGGUGGCAACGUUUAUAAACACGUAUUAAUUAGUGGAGACCUCUACACAGAUAUGUAUGGCGGGUGAUGUGUGUCAAAAUUCAAUAACACAUUUGGCAAUGAUAACGUAACAUUUUGCUACAAUAAUAACACAUUUGGCAACGAUAAAGUAACCUUUUGCUACAAUUUUGUGGCGGUUACAAGACAUUUAUUAACAAUAACAAAACAUUCAAUGACAAAGUAUUAUUUUGCAACAACAUAAACGUAUCGUUUUAAUAUUUGCCAACAAUCGUACAUUUGGCAAGUACAAUCCCGUGAUGCAGUUGGGCACUAGCUCCGAUGGCGCGAAAACGGUGCAUAAAUGGCGCGUAAUUAUUUUCACACAAAAUGGCGAUCAAGAUAUCGAAGAAAACGGAGUACGAACUGCUCUUAUAACGCGUUAUUGACUGAUGUAACGGAAUGCCUUUCAACAGAGCUUGAUGAUGUUAUUGAUCGUAUUCGCGAUUUUUCUGAAGACCUUUAUCGAU